rnacentral:rRNA from 1 species
UACGUAGGGGGCUAGCGUUGUCCGGAAUCAUUGGGCGUAAAGAGCGUGUAGGCGGCCCGGUAAGUCCGCUGUAAAAGUCAAAGGCUCAACCUUUGAAUGUCAGUGGAUACUGCCGGGCUAGAGUCCGGAAGAGGCGAGUGGAACUCCUGGUGUAGCGGUGGAAUGCGCAGAUAUCGGGAAGAACACCCGUGGCGAAGGCGGCUCUCUGGGACGGUACUGACGCUGAGACGCGAAAGCGUGGGGAGCGAACAGG